rnacentral:rRNA from 2 species
AGAGUUUGAUCCUGGCUCAGGAUAAACGCUGGCGGCGCACAUAAGACAUGCAAGUCGAACGGACUUAACCUCUUGCUUGCAAGAGGAGCGGUUAGUGGCGGACUGGUGAGUAACACGUAAGAAAUCUGCCUAUCAGAGGGGAAUAACAGUGAGAAAUCAUUGCUAAUACCGCAUAUGCCAUAGUUAUCGCAUGAUAGUAGUGGGAAAGAAGCAAUUCGCUGAUAGAUGAGCUUGCGUCUGAUUAGCUAGUUGGUGGGGUAAAGGCCUACCAAGGCGACGAUCAGUAGCCGGACUGAGAGGUUGAACGGCCACAUUGGGACUGAGAUACGGCCCAGACUCCUACGGGAGGCAGCAGUCGGGAAUAUUGCGCAAUGGAGGAAACUCUGACGCAGUGACGCCGCGUAUAGGAAGAAGGUUUUCGGAUUGUAAACUAUUGUCCACAGGGAAGAAAAAAGACUGUACCUGUGAAGAAAGCUCCGGCUAACUACGUGCCAGCAGCCGCGGUAAUACGUAGGGAGCAAGCGUUAUCCGGAAUUAUUGGGUGUAAAGGGUGCGUAGACGGGAUAACAAGUUGGUUGUGAAACCCCUCGGCUUAACUGAGGAACUGCAACCAAAACUAUUAUUCUUGAGUGCAGGAGAGGAAAGUGGAAUUCCUAGUGUAGCGGUGAAAUGCGUAGAUAUUAGGAAGAACACCGGUGGCGAAGGCGACUUUCUGGACUGUAACUGACGUUGAGGCACGAAAGUGUGGGGAGCAAACAGGAUUAGAUACCCUGGUAGUCCACACUGUAAACGAUGGAUACUAGGUGUAGGAGGUAUUAAGCCUUCUGUGCCGUCGCAAACGCAGUAAGUAUCCCACCUGGGGAGUACGACCGCAAGGUUGAAACUCAAAGGAAUUGACGGGGGCCCGCACAAGCAGUGGAGUAUGUGGUUUAAUUCGAAGCAACGCGAAGAACCUUACCAGGGCUUGACAUAUAGAUGAAUAUAUAAGAGAUUAUAUAGUAUUUCGGUACAUCUAUACAGGUGGUGCAUGGUUGUCGUCAGCUCGUGUCGUGAGAUGUUAGGUUAAGUCCUGCAACGAGCGCAACCCCUGUACUUAGUUGCCAGCAUGUAAAGAUGGGAACUCUAAGUAGACUGCCGGUGAUAAAUCGGAGGAAGGUGGGGACGACGUCAAAUCAUCAUGCCCUUUAUGUCCUGGGCUACACACGUACUACAAUGGCUACAACAGAGAGAAGCGAGACGGAGACGUUAAGCGAAACCCAAAAAAGUAGUCUCAGUUCGGAUUGAAGGCUGAAAUUCGCCUUCAUGAAGCCGGAAUUGCUAGUAAUGGCAGGUCAGCAUACUGCCGUGAAUACGUUCCCGGGCCUUGUACACACCGCCCGUCACACCAUGAGAGUUGGGAAUACCCGAAGCCUGUGAGCUAACGAAAGAGGCAGCAGUCGAAGGUAGAAUCAAUGAUUGGGGUGAAGUCGUAACAAGGUAACCAA